CUUAAGAUAAAUUAGCAUUUAUUGAGAAAAAGAUUUUGAAAAUCACUUGGAAAAAGUCAAGGUUUAUUCAUAAAGUGGUUCAAGUUAAAAUAAGAAGGUUUGAAAAAGAGAGAAGAUUUUGAAAAUUAAAGAAGGGGGGAGGAGAAGAAGAGACUACCGUACAACAGUAAAGUAAAAGCUAAAGAAGAAACAUCUAACCAAGAGAUGACAAG
rnacentral:lncRNA from 1 species